AGAGUUUGAUUCUGGCUCAGAACGAACGCUGGCAGCGUGGAUUAGGCAUGCAAGUCGAACGUGAAGCCGAUGAUCAAUCUUUCGGGAAAGUGAUUCGGUGGAAAGUGGCGGAAGGGUGAGUAACGCGUGGGUAAGCUACCUCGAAGUUGGGGACAACCAGAUGAAAAUCUAGCUAAUACCGAAUGUGGUCCUCUGGCACAUGCCGGGGUGACUAAAGGUGGGGAUCCUUUAUUGGACCUGCCGCUUUGAGAUGCGCCCGCGUGCCAUCAGCUUGUUGGUAGGGUAACGGCCUACCAAGGCUUACGGCUAGCCGGCCUGAGAGGGUGACCGGCCACACUGGGACUGAGACACUGCCCAGACUCCUACGGGAGGCUGCAGUCGAGGAUCAUUCGCAAUGCGCGAAAGCGUGACGAUGCGACGCUGCGUGGGGGAUGAAGGCCUUCGGGUCGUAAACUCCUGUCAUGAGGGAAAAGUAUCCCUGCAAUGAAUAGUUGCGGGGCUCGAUGGUACCUCAAGAGGAAGCCACGGCUAACUCUGUGCCAGCAGCCGCGGUAAUACAGAGGUGGCGAGCGUUGUUCGGAUUUACUGGGCGUAAAGGGUGCGUAGGUGGUUUUGUGUGUCGGAUGUGAAAGCCCAUGGCUCAACCGUGGAAUUGCAUUCGAAACUGCAGAACUAGAGUGCAGGAUGGGAGAGCGGAAUUCUUGGUGUAGCGGUGAAAUGCGUUGAUAUCAAGAAGAACACCGGUGGCGAAGGCGGCUCUCUGGAAUGCUACUGACACUGAGGCACGAAAGCUGGGGGAGCAAACAGGAUUAGAUACCCUGUAGUCCCAGCCGUAAACGGUGCACACUUGGUGUGGGGAGAUUUAACCCUCUCCGUGCCGGAGCUAACGCGUUAAGUGUGCCGCCUGGGGAGUACGGCCGCAAGGCUAAAACUCAAAGAAAUUGACGGGGGCCCGCACAAGCGGAGGAGCAUGUGGCUUAAUUCGAUGCAACGCGAAGAACCUUACCAGGGCUUGACAUAUACCUGCAAACCCCGUGAAAGCGGGGAAUCCUUCGAGGGUGGUAUACAGGUGCUGCAUGGCUGUCGUCAGUUCGUGCCGUGAGGUGUUGGGUUAAGUCCCGUAACGAACGCAACCCUUGUGACUAGUUGCCACCGGCGGUGAUGAGCCGCCGAGCACUCUAGUCAGACUGCCCGUACAAGCGGGAGGAAGGUGGGGAUGACGUCAAGUCAGUAUGGCCCUUACGCCCUGGGCUGCACACGUGCUACAAUGGUCGGUACAAUGGGAUGCAAUAUCGUGAGGUGGAGCAAAUCCUGAAAGCCGGCCUCAGUUCGGAUUGAAGUCUGCAACUCGACUUCAUGAAGU
rnacentral:rRNA from 1 species